rnacentral:rRNA from 1 species
AGACCCGAAACCCGGUGAUCUAGCCAUGGGCAGGUUGAAGGUUGGGUAACACUAACUGGAGGACCGAACCGACUAAUGUUGAAAAAUUAGCGGAUGACCUGUGGCUGGGGGUGAAAGGCCAAUCAAACCGGGAGAUAGCUGGUUCUCCCCGAAAGCUAUUUAGGUAGCGCCUCGUGAAUUCAUCUCCGGGGGUAGAGCACUGUUUCGGCUAGGGGGCCAUCCCGGCUUACCAACCCGAUGCAAACUGCGAAUACCGGAGAAUGUUAUCACGGGAGACACACGGCGGGUGCUAACGUCCGUCGUGAAGAGGGAAACAACCCAGACCGCCAGCUAAGGUCCCAAAGUCAUGGUUAAGUGGGAAACGAUGUGGGAAGGCCCAGACAGCCAGGAUGUUGGCUUAGAAGCAGCCAUCAUUUAAAGAAAGCGUAAUAGCUCACUGGUCGAGUCGGCCUGCGCGGAAGAUGUAACGGGGCUAAACCAUGCACCGAAGCUGCGGCAGCGACACUGUGUGUUGUUGGGUAGGGGAGCGUUCUGUAAGCCUGCGAAGGUGGCCUGUGAGGGUUGCUGGAGGUAUCAGAAGUGCGAAUGCUGACAUAAGUAACGAUAAAGCGGGUGAAAAGCCCGCUCGCCGGAAGACCAAGGGUUCCUGUCCAACGUUAAUCGGGGCAGGGUGAGUCGACCCCUAAGGCGAGGCCGAAAGGCGUAGUCGAUGGGAAACGGGUUAAUAUUCCCGUACUUGGUGUUACUGCGAAGGGGGGACGGAGAAGGCUAUGUUGGCCGGGCGACGGUUGUCCCGGUUUAAGCGUGUAGGUGUGUGUUCCAGGUAAAUCCGGUUCACUUUAACACUGAGGCGUGACGACGAGGCACUACGGUGCUGAAGCAACAAAUGCCCUGCUUCCAGGAAAAGCCUCUAAGCAUCAGGUAACAUCAAAUCGUACCCCAAACCGACACAGGUGGUCAGGUAGAGAAUACCAAGGCGCUUGAGAGAACUCGGGUGAAGGAACUAGGCAAAAUGGUGCCGUAACUUCGGGAGAAGGCACGCUGACACGUAGGUGAAGUGAUUUACUCAUGGAGCUGAAGUCAGUCGAAGAUACCAGCUGGCUGCAACUGUUUAUUAAAAACACAGCACUGUGCAAACACGAAAGUGGACGUAUACGGUGUGACGCCUGCCCGGUGCCGGAAGGUUAAUUGAUGGGGUCAGCGCAAGCGAAGCUCCUGAUCGAAGCCCCGGUAAACGGCGGCCGUAACUAUAACGGUCCUAAGGUAGCGAAAUUCCUUGUCGGGUAAGUUCCGACCUGCACGAAUGGCGUAAUGAUGGCCAGGCUGUCUCCACCCGAGACUCAGUGAAAUUGAACUCGCUGUGAAGAUGCAGUGUACCCGCGGCAAGACGGAAAGACCCCGUGAACCUUUACUAUAGCUUGACACUGAACAUUGAGCCUUGAUGUGUAGGAUAGGUGGGAGGCUUUGAAGUGUGGACGCCAGUCUGCAUGGAGCCGACCUUGAAAUACCACCCUUUAAUGUUUGAUGUUCUAACGUGGACCCGUUACCCGGGUUGCGGACAGUGUCUGGUGGGUAGUUUGACUGGGGCGGUCUCCUCCUAAAGAGUAACGGAGGAGCACGAAGGUUGGCUAAUCCUGGUCGGACAUCAGGAGGUUAGUGCAAUGGCAUAAGCCAGCUUGACUGCGAGCGUGACGGCGCGAGCAGGUGCGAAAGCAGGUCAUAGUGAUCCGGUGGUUCUGAAUGGAAGGGCCAUCGCUCAACGGAUAAAAGGUACUCCGGGGAUAACAGGCUGAUACCGCCCAAGAGUUCAUAUCGACGGCGGUGUUUGGCACCUCGAUGUCGGCUCAUCACAUCCUGGGGCUGAAGUAGGUCCCAAGGGUAUGGCUGUUCGCCAUUUAAAGUGGUACGCGAGCUGGGUUUAGAACGUCGUGAGACAGUUCGGUCCCUAUCUGCCGUGGGCGCUGGAGAACUGAGGGGGGCUGCUCCUAGUACGAGAGGACCGGAGUGGACGCAUCACUGGUGUUCGGGUUGUCAUGCCAAUGGCACUGCCCGGUAGCUAAAUGCGGAAGAGAUAAGUGCUGAAAGCAUCUAAGCACGAAACUUGCCCCGAGAUGAGUUCUCCCUGAGACUUAAAGUCUCCUGAAGGAACGUUGAAGACGACGACGUUGAUAGGCCGGGUGUGUAAGCGCAGCGAUGCGUUGAGCUAACCGGUACUAAUGAAC